GCGGAGGAAAAGAAAAUAACAAUGAUUUCCCUAGUAACGGCGAGUGAAGAGGAAAGAGCUCAAAGUUGGAACCUGUUUGGCUUAGCUAAACCGGAUUGUAAACUGUAGAAGUGUUUUCCUGACACGCCUGGUAAAAAAGUCCUUUGGAACAGGGCAUCAUAGAGGGUGAGAAUCCCGUGUUUGGCCAGAGCUGUUGUCUUUUGUGAUACAUUUUCAAAGAGUCAGGUUGUUUGGGAAUGCAGCCUAAAUUGGGUGGUAAAUCUCACCUAAAGCUAAAUAUUUGCGAGAGACCGAUAGCGAACAAGUACCGUGAGGGAAAGAUGAAAAGAACUUUGAAAAGAGAGUUAAACAGUAUGUGAAAUUGUUAAAAGGGAACCGUUUGGAGCCAGACUGGCUUGACUGUAAUCAAUCUAGGCUUCGGCCUGGAUGCACUUGCGGUUUAUGCCUGCCAACGACAAUUUUUUUUGAGGGAAAAAACUAUUAGGAAUGUGGCCCCUCUCGGGGGGUGUUAUAGCCUUUUAGAAAAUACCUUGAAUUGGAUUGAGGAACGCAGUGAAUGCCUUUAGGCAAGAUUGCUGGGUGCUUUCGUUAAUA
rnacentral:rRNA from 1 species